rnacentral:lncRNA from 1 species
GUGAGUUUGAGGCCAGCCUGGUGUACAGAGUGAGUUCCAGAACAGCCAGGGCUACACAGAGAACCCUGUCUGGGAAAAAAAAAGAAUGUGCUGGAUGGUGGUGGUGCAUGCUUUUAAUCCCAGCCCUUGGGAGGCAGAAGCAGGUGGAUCUAUGAGUUGGAGGCCAGCUUGGUCUACAGAGCAAGUUCCAGGAUGGUCAGGGCUACACAGAGAAACCCAAUUUCAAAAAAAAAAAAAAAACAAAAACAAAAAAACAGUGUUGUGGGUAUGCUGAGAAGCCAAAGGCCUUUGGAGCUGGAGCCAGAUUUGGGUGCUGGAAGUCAAACUCAGGGCCUAUGGAGGAUUGGUAAGCACUCUUAACUGCUGAGUCAUUUCUCUAGCCCCCUAAAAUAAUAAAAAAGAAAAACAGAGGUGGUGACUGCCUUAAAUCCAGCACUUAGGAGGUGAGCAUGAGACCAGCUUGGGCUACAGGCCAGAUAUUAUAGUAAGACCCUGUCUAGAAAAUAAUACUUCUAAUUUAAAAGAAGGGAAGAAGGGCUGGAGAGAGAGCUCAGUAGUAGGAUGCUUGCCUGGCAUGUAACACAAAUACAAUUAAAAAUUCCAUUUCCCUCUGAGGAAGCAGCCUGGGAGACUUGUCUGUGUCGGGAAGCUCCACCCUCCCUCCACUAACUGACAGUCCCAGAUUCCCAUUAAAAGCCUAGCCUGAGGAUACAAAGUGGUAUAUGUGGUAGGGGCGGGGCUCUGGCCCAUAGCAGGCCUGGGAUGAACCAGGGUGGCCUGGGGAGAGGGACAGGUUUAGGGCCUGUGGAGUCAGGUUAGUGCAGAGGUCUGCUUCCAGAAGAGAAAAGGCCAGGAGACUCCCAGUGACCUAGAAAGGAACCAUAGCUCAGGAGCCCGUUUGGUUAGAACUCAAAGUGGCCCUGAGGCAGUGGCUAGGUUAUAAAAGCUGCAGGUACCUACUGAAUCCUAACCUGAGUGAGGAAGGCCAUCAGAGACAUCCUUAAACCCCCUAAGCCUCCAGGACCGUUGGUCCAAGCAGCAGCUGCCACUGCCACUGUUCCCAUGAUGGCGUUUAUUCUUGAUCAGGCCUCAGAAGCUGUUGGAAGGCGGCCAACUAAAACAGAAUCAAAAGGCAAAGAACCAAGUGAGUUCAGUUCCAGAACCAUGUUGGGUGGCUCCUAACCACUUAAAAGUCCAGCUCCAGAGACACUUGGUGCCCUCCACUGGCAUCACUGGACUCAAUGAAGCUGGAGUUACAAGUAGUAUCAAUCACCCACGGUCGGUCCUGGGAACCGAACACAGGAGCAAGCAAGCACUUUUACCUGCUGUGUCAUCUCUCCAGUCUUCCCGAGGAACUCAGUUUGGAGCUCACAGAUUCCUGUCACUCACACAUCAGGGGAUCUGACACCCAGAAAAUCAAAUCAUAUCCUUUCUCUGUAUUUAUUUGCUCUCUCUCUGUUUUUUUUUUAAGAUUUAUUUAUUAUGUAUACAGUGUUCUGUCUGCAUGUAUGCCUGCUGGCCAGAAGAGGGCACCAGAUCUCAUUACAGAUGGUUGUGAGCCACCAUGUGAUUGCUGGGAAUUGAACUCGGGCACCCCUGGAAGAGCAGUCAGUGCUCUUAACCUCUGAGCCAUCUCUCCAGCCCCCGUGUGUUUGUUUUUCCAGACAUGGUUUCUUGUGUAGUUUUGGAGUCUGUUUUUUUGUUGUUGUUGUUUGUUUGUUUUCGAGACAGGUUUUCUCUGUAUGUUUUGGAGCCUGUCCUGUAACUCCCUCUGUAGAUCAGGCCGGCCUGGAACUCACAGAGAUCCACCUGCCUCUGCCUCCCAGGCACUGGGAUUAAAGGCAUGCACCACCACCGACUGGCCCAAAUGAGACUCUUUACAGUGUUCUGCCUGCAUGUUUGCCUACAGGCCAGAAGAAGGCACCAGAUCUCAUUGCAGAUGGUUGUGAGCCACCAUGUGGUUGCUGGGAAUCGAACUCAGGACUUAUGGAAGAGCAGCCAGUGCUCUUAACCUCUGAGCCAUCUCUCCAGCCGGAAUUAACCUCGUAUAGAAUGAGGUGAACAAAUGAGAGUCUUAAUAUUUGUAAAUUUCUCAGAUAAGCUUGAGAAAAUGAACUAGUCAUUUGGUUAAGUCUAUUAAAUCAAGACAGC